GAUGGUUCACAGGUGUUUUAUCAAAUAUUCAAAAAAGCAAUAACUUCCUAAUAGUAUACAAUUUUUUUUUCUGAGAAUGGAGAGAGAAGGAAAUCUCUCCAAUUAAUUUUGUGAAGCGAAGAAAAUCUUUAUAAGAAAACCAGACAAAGGCAGUCUAAGAAAGAAAAUUUAUAAGACAUUCUCAUUCUGUGACAUGAAAGUAUAAAUCCAAGACAAAUAUUUUACGGUUAUAUUCUCUAUAUGGUUUUAUAAAUAACCUUCUAUCCUCUGUGUAUUUAUAAAAAAUACACAUAAUUUUUUGUAAAUACAUAUAAAAUCAGGACCUGUACAACAAACCAGAUGUUAGCAUUAACUGUAUAUUUUAUCUUAUCCCAAAUGCUGAUGCAAUAAUCAUUUUAUUAUGUACUUUCCAAUUCUUAGUUCGGUCCUCUGUAGAUCCCUUGAGAGUAGUUUCACUUCACUUUUUACGGUUACUUCAUUUAACCAUAAUUCAAAAUGAGCAUGAAAUGGGAAUUUCAAAGGUAUUUGCUCAAGCUCUUGUCAGAGAAGAGUGUCAUGAUAUUUAACUUAGGGAGGGCUGAGAUGCUGAACCAGUCUGUGCCCUUCCUGGUGCCUGCCAUUCAGCCACCUGCCUGAACACUCCAAAGAGCAGCCUGCAGAGGAGAAAGCCUCAAAGUGGCUUGAAGAUGUGUGUCAUUUAGGAUUAUUUGGGAGCACUGGGUGAACAGAUAAGAGACUCUCUUUCCCCACCAUUCCUGCCCCUGACAGGAGACGGAUUAUGAUUCAAGACACAAGAAGACUGAAGAACUACUUAAAAAGGAUUUGGCUUCUUGCUCUCAUUGUCUUACGUGGGUGGGGGGUAGAGGUUUAGGAAGGUGAUUGUAAAAGAGAAGCCAGGGGAUGACCGACCUGUUUGUAACCCAACCUCCUCACAUGGACUUAGGGAUAAUUUCUACGCAGAUUCUCAACUUUACUUGCCAAUGUCAACUUCAUUAGUGGGGAGCAGAAACACAGAUCCUCCCAAACAGUGUUUAAUAUAAAUAUGAAUAUAUAAAAAUCACUUAAACUGUGCUUUAGAAACAUUUCCUUUGAACUUACAUUUGAAUGUAUUUGCCUGAUUGUUAGUAUCAUGUGUGCACGAACACCUAAGCAGUCUUCCAUUUUGCGGGUGAACACACCCGCAAAGAUUCUGAUGAAGCUAAAGAUGAAGACAAAGUCUGGAAGCAUUUUACUUGUGUUAAAAAAUUAUUCUGAUGCUUAUUAAAAUAGUAAGGUAGGCUUUAUUCAGGACUGCUGCAGUGGGUGUAGGGACUACUACAGUGUCAUGGGGUUUUGCAGUGGGCAGAGAUUGGGCUCAACCCUGGAUACAGUAAAGAAUAGCAGGGGUUUAUAGCCAAAGAGAAGGAUGGACGGAGGAGUCAGUGGAUGAAAAAGUACUGUGGAAGUGUGAUAAUUCUUACUACACUGAACUAAAGAGAUACUUACUGAAGGAAGGCCAGGGUGAUAAGAUGUUGUUUGGGAGGGGUAAAGAGUAAGAAGUUUGGUCAGAUAUUCAGAGUGAUCAGAUUCCAGGGUGAGAAAUGCUAGCUAAACUGAAGUAGCAGGGUUCUUGCUAAAACUGGGCUAUGCGAGACAGACACUGAAGAUCCAGGCCUAAAAGGCUCAGCUGAGUCUGACAAGGGGUCAAGGAGGGACUUUGUCACCUGCUGGGAGAAGAUGCACGUGGGCAACAAUGAACACAGGCAGAAGGCAGAAGGCAAUAGUUCAGUCCUGAAUUUGGGAUGGUUUCACAUGUAACUGAUAGAAACCACUGUGUGUUUAUAUUGAUACACAUUUUACGUGUCUAGGAAUAUCUGGGAAGAACUGAUGUUUAAAAAAGAAUGAGUUCAAGCAGACAUGGAAUGUGGGCCCAAAUACCAAAUUCAAUGAAAAGAGCCAGUAGCAAAACUGUGUAUUUAGUACAACUCCAUAUUUGAUACAAAUGAAUGGUAAUAAUAAAUAUAAAUUUAUACACAGGGAAGGAAAAGUUUUGGAAUGUUAAACAGAAUUGCUAAAAAUAGCUUUCUUCGGGAAAAAGAAUUAGAGGGAAAAUUCAAGUUUCAUGUCAUAUAUUUUAGUAAUUUUUCACUGGUAGUAAUUUUCUUUUUAUAAUAAACACUACGUUAGCAAUUUGGAAAAAAUAUUUUUUAAAUGGGGUGGGGCAAGGGGCAACAGAGUCCUCAUCUCCCCUUAGUAUUAUCUAGGAAAGAGUUCAAAAGAAGAAGCCAUAUCAACUGACUCACUGGCCCCAAAGGUGAUGUUUGAGUCUUGUCAUCAACUGCUCUCUUCUCAGGCAGAGCACAGAGUUCACCAGCUUUCAGCCUAUGACUCCAGCAGCAGCUGGACUAGUACCUAGGGAAAAUUCAUAUGGGAACAAAGGUAUAAUAAAGUGAAGCAGGAAUGUCAAUGGCAAAUACUCACUGUGCCAACAAAGUCCUUAGUAGAAUAAGCACAGCCCAGCAAUCCUUGAAAAGUAAAUUUGUGCCAGCAAAUUCCAUGGAAGCAAUAGUCAAAGGAUCUUUCCCAGAGGAAGGAAACAAGAAUCAUCCCUUCCAGCACUGGCCUUAUCUAUAACCCUGGAUUUGACACUGGGCUGCACCCCUUACUUGCUGUGUGAUAUCGGGUAAGUUACUUAACCUCUCUGACCCUUGGUUUCUUCAUCAGUAAUGUGGAAAACAAUAGCAUAUAUCUUAUAGGAUUAUUGUAUGGAUUAUCACCUAAUGUCUCAGCUCAGGAAGGUAAAUACAGAGAGUUCCCACUGUGGCUCAGGGUAAUGAACCUGACUAAUAUCUAUGAGGAUACAGGUUUGAUCCCUGGCCUUGUUCAGUGGGUUAAGGAUCCAGUGGCCCUAACAAGACAAAAACAAAAACAAAACAAAGGUAAAUACAAAACAAAACCCAAAACAACCACAGUCAACUCUAUAUACUAAAACACAAAAGCAUUAUGGAAUUCCUAUUGUGGCUCAGAGGGUCAUGGACCUGACUAGUGUGAGGAUGCGAUCCCUGGCUCUCCUCAGUGUGUUAAGAAUCCGAUGUUGCCCUGAGCUGUGGUAUGGGUCGAAGCUGUGGCUCCGAUCUGGUGUUGCUGUGGCUGUGGCUGUGGCCGGCAGCUGCAGCUCCGAUUCAACCCCUGGCCUGGGAACUUCCAUAUGCUGAAGCAUUACAGCAAAUUCUGUAUAAUAAGAUAUAUAAGCAAAUACCAAAAAAUGUUGUUGCGAUGUAAGACAUCAUGAAAUGGAGAAAUUCUACACAGUAAGGAACUUAGUGAUACUUCGUGAAGUACUUCUCUUUUGUCUCUAGCUCUUCAUAUUUACCCAUGUCAAAGAUAAUUUGUCGAUAAAUGUCCAGGCCAAGCUUUGAAUGUUUUAACUUUUCCUCACUUUAUCAAUUUACUCAUUUAUUCUAUUCUGCAAAUUCACUAAAAAGCACGAGAGCUCAUGCCAUACAAAUGGAAAUAAAAAGAUGCAUACAUUUGGAGCCAGAUGUAUCCAUUUUUAAUUCACUUUGUGACCUUGGGCAUAUUAUACAAUGCCUUUGUUCUUUGGAUUCUUUGUCUGUUCAAUGAAAAUAUUAUAAUGUCCUCAUCUCAGGGUUGUUAUGAGGACUAAAUAAUUGUAUUUCACAUGCAUGGCACUCAGUAUGUGCUUAAAAGUUGUGAGUUUCCCCGCUUUUCCAAAAGGAAUCUUAGAGAUCAUCACCCUUCUCAUUUUACAAAUGAGAAAGCUCAAGAUCACAUUUUUUUUUAAAAAUACCCAUUCUGAGUCCCAUUUCUAUACUUUUUCCACUGCUGUCCUUUCUCUUAUUAGCUUGGUUAACUUCAAUAAAGAAGACAAAACUCAGUGGAAUCAAAAAGUAUUCUUUUCCUCUUUUUAAUAUAGGUAAGCCAAGAAGAGACUUUUAAAGUAGGAGUGAGUUUUAUGAAAGGUAAUAAGUAGUCUAAAAACUGUUUUAAAUCCUCAGAGAUAUUAAAAACAGAAGUUCUGUUCUUCCAAGAUUUCCACAGCAGAACACAAGUAUUCUGUAUGCUUUGGCACCAAGAACUCUAGCACAGAGUAUUUAUCUGCACAUUUCAACUCAGGCCUCCGGAAUGCUUGCCCAUGGAAUUGGCAAAGGAACUGAAUUUCAGUGUUUAGAGCAGUCAAGUUUGCUCAGCACACAGCUGUAUUUGAAGUCCAGAUCUCUUCCUUUAGUCAACAAAACUUGCACAAAACACAAGUAUUUUAACUGUAAGUGCUGGGAUCUUACCCUGCUUUCAUAUCUUUGUCAUCCUUUUCCAUACCUGAAGAUUACCCAUGGAUAAGCCAAGAGAACCGUGAUUAUGUUCCUGAUGUUUGAAAAAGGCAAAAUUGAGCAAACUGUAAUUUAGAUCUUGGCCUAUUCAUUUGAGGAAGAAUGUAAAGCUUUAUUUGGCAGGAAGGAGAUAUCCAAUACUACCAUUAAAAAUGGCUUAAAAAUCAAUUUUUAAAGUUAUUUCCUUAAAAACAUGUUUUUAAAAUGACAUUUUACCAUAAUAAAAUUGGUUGCAUCUUAUUGGGUCAUUUAAAGACUAUGUAUAUUUGUUUGUCUCUCUCAUUUGUUUCACUUGCUUCUUGACUGAUCUCAGGUAAAGUUCUUACUGCAUUCAGAAAGAGCAGAAAACCUUAAAUGUCUAAGGCUACUUUGAACUGCUAUAUUACGUGGAAACACAGCCACUGGAAAUGGGCCAUAUUGGUGAUUACAACCCCUUGCUCUUAGCAAAUUGCUCAUAUAGCAAACCAUAGCUGUUGUUAUAACUUUUUUUUUGUUGUCUUUUUGCCUUUUCUAGAGCCGCUCCUGUGGCAUAUGGAGGUUCCCAGGAUAGGGGUCUAAUCGGAGCUGUGGCUGCUGGCCUACACCACAGCUCAUGGCAAUGCCGGAUCCUUAACCCACUGAGCCAGGCAAGGGAUCGAACCCGCAACCUCAUGUUCCUAGUCGGACUCAUUAACCACUGAGCCACGAUGGGAACUCCUGUUGUUGUAACUCUUAAAUGGUUCAGCCACAAUCCAGAUACUUCAGUCAUGCGGAUCUGUAGAAGAGCACAAAAAUCAUUCAGAGGCCUAUGGGACAUCUUUGUGGCUUCUGAGGUAACACACUGCUUCCCAAAACUGCUCCUUGAUUUGGCAUUGGGGAAAUUUUCCAGCCUGCAUGGUAAGAGGAGCAAUAUGUUAAUUUUAUUUAAUAGGCCUGAGUUCACUUUAUAGGAAAGGGUGAGGCUGAACAAACCUCUAAUCCUGCUAUGUAUUAAUGUACUUGGUUCCAUUUCUUACAGAUAAUUUUUCUCAGGAGAAAAAUCCUAUCAGAAUUGUAAUUAAAUUUGGACUGUGGGGGUCUUGUGAAAUGUAUCUUAAAACAACUUUAUACUGUGCUGCCUCAAUUACAAAAAGUAGGAUUAUACCAUGGGCUAACUAUGAAUACACAAUGGACAUUUGCUCCCUUCCAAAUUAUAGCAACUUGACUGGAUAUUAAUCUUGGGGAUAUUUUCACAAGAAGAGAGACUGGAAGCAUUUCGAAAUUGCUGUCCAAAGCUCACCAGUUUCUGACAAUAAUACCAGACUCAUAAACAAAGCAGUGCAGUUAUCACCUCUCUUAGUUGUAAAAUGGUUAUUUAUUGAUUUAUUUUUACUGUUAUUUCUGGAUCUCAUCACCCAUAGCAAGAACCCAUCUGCUAUGAAUUCUCUGUUAUACACUUUAGUCUCGACUCACAAAAAACUAUUCAAAAUUCUGAAGUCUUGGGGCAUGUCCACAUCCUGAGAGGCUGCUUGAUGUAUCCCUGCUUCAAAGUUUUUAGACUCUGUGUUUCUAACAAGUUUCCAGAAAAAAAUACACUUUUCUGAAAAUUCUCCCCUGUAGUACUAUAGGAUGCUGAGUUACAUUCAUUCUUAUUUUGUUUUUAGUUUUUUUGUUUUAGGCUUACUCAUGGCAUGCAGAAGUUUCCAGGCCAGGAAUCAAACCAUGCCACAUUAGUGACAAUGCCAGAUCCUUAACCCAUUAUGCCACAAGGGAAUACCAUUCUUAUUUGUUUUUUUUAAGGAGUCCUUUCCUGGGACUCAAUGUCCCUCCCUAACUAUUCUCUGCCUCUUCUAACACUUGAUGCCACACUAUCAUUAUUAUCUGAGUAAUGGCAACAGAGGAACGUAACUAUGUCUAAGGGCUUGCACUCUUCAAUCUGCGAACCAAUUAUUUUUCUGUGAUGGUGAUCAAUAGCCUUCUGUUUGCUUUAUUCUUUAAAAGCAUAUCUUAAGCAAUCUUUGAAAGACAUAUAAGGGUGGACAUGAAAAUCCAGUCUAAGUAACUUCAUCUCUAAACUUUGAUUACUAUGCUUAUUUCUCAAAGGUUAAGGAGGAGGAAUGCAAAAAAUAGAAAUGAAGGAAGUCUUACCCAGAUACAUGAUCAACCAUUCCUAGCAAACAGUAGAAUACAAUUUUAAUAGAGUGGGUAGUGAUCUAGGUCGAAUUUUCCAGUGCCAGGUUGUGUGUAGGACAGAAUCCAAAACCUUAAUAAAAUUAAGCUAUAUUAGAUCUCUAAUGUCUCUUGAUCUCUCUGGCCACUGAGAGAAAGAAAUUAGAUA
rnacentral:lncRNA from 1 species